UCCUAUAAUAUAAGGGAGGCAACAAUCUGAUUGAUGUUGAUAGAAAUAAUGUUUUCUCCCUCUAAAGAGAUAAAUUAUAUUAAAUUAUAUUUCCUCUCAAAUAGAUUUGAAUUGGACAACUUGAUACCAAUUUGAGAUCUGAAUAUUCACAAGAUUAUAUGUAUAAUUGAGCAACUCUUUUUUACGAGGAGGAGUAGCAAUAGGCAGCAACGUGAGUCCCAAUUUUGCGGAAGUGCGGUAAAUUUUUCUCAAGAACAACAUACGAGUUUUGCUCACCGCUUCGAUCUCAUUUUUUCGUUUGGUCGUGUUGUUGAAUCCGGGCUUUCUUCUAAGUGAAGUAAGGUGGAAGAAGAUUAAUUCUUGGCAUAUUAGGUAAGAAAAACUACUUCGAUCUCGUUGUUUCGUUUGGUCGUGUUGUUGAAUCCGGGCUUUCUUCUAAGUGAAGUAAGGUGGAAGAAGAUUAGUUCUUGACAUAUAAGGUAAGAAUCCCCCUAUUCUUGAUAUAUUUAAGUUCGUCCAGGUCAUAGCCAAAUUUUGAGAUGAGAAAUACGGAAUCAAUAGCGGGGAGUCGUAUAAGUUUGUGUUGGCUGUUUAGUGGUUGUUUGAGUUGUUUUAUGGGCUGAAAUUUAUAGAAUUGAUAUGAUUAUUGUUGUUCUUGUUGUUUUCAACUUGGGGGAAGUAGUAGAAACAGGGGCGAUGCUGUCCAAUUCGUUAUAAGACAAGUUUGACACUUGAUAUACAUGAUAUACCGAAUGAAUCCUUGGCCUAAUGAAAGACGUUAUCGUUAUUAUAGGUUGUAGCGCUAAACAGGCUGCGAGGUUGGAUUGUCGAAGAAGCCAACAAGGUAUGUAAGGUUUUCCCUUCUUUUCUUUUGGCACGAAUCCAACAAACUAACGUAACGGAUGUCCCUCAUAAAGGAACUCUAUUCUCGUAGAUGUAAGAUUCAUUUUCUUCCUUCCUUAAUGUGUUACUUUCUUCAUUCUACAUAUGAUCUAUACCAUUUCAUUCAGCUAUGUGUUGUUGAUGUUGGCUACAUAAUUCAUUCGGAGGUUACCGACCUUACCUCACUGCGAAAGGCCCGAUGUUAGUUCAUUGGCUCCUCAUGCAUUAUGUAUAUAUCUGUAUUCACUAUUUUAGUACACCACGCCGUGCUAUAGUCGGCCGGGCAGGCACGUAGAUGUGCACUCCACUGCAGUGGAUAUGUUAUGAUAUUUCCCCGGAUGCGUGAUGAUGAUGAUAUGAUGAUGAUAUGAAGAUGACACGACGAUGAUGCUACUAUAUGUAUAUUUGCAUAUGUUUUCAAACUUAUGCAUUGCAUGUCACAUGUCAUGUCCUCAGAGUUCAGGUUAUUCAUCUUCUAUUUAUACUUGUUUCACUGCUUUACUUUUACAUUCCUGCCUUACAUGCUCAAUACUUUUAUCCGUACUGACGUGGGACGCUGCAUUUCGUGCUGCAGGUCCUGCCAAGAGGCUAGGAGGACCUUUUGUUUAGGCUUGCACAGUUCAGCGGAUAGUCAACAAGCUCCACUUGUCCCGGACUUGCUCGGUUUUGGUAUGCUGUGAUGUAAAUGCUUUAUCUAUAUCUUUUGAUUACGUGGUUUAGUUUAAUCCUAUGUAAACAUAUUGACUCAGAACAACUAGAAGAAACAAUAACAAGGGAAAUGGGGUUUACAGAUCUGGGACUUUUGAUUAUCAGUACUUGUUCUAAUCGAUAGGUGAGAUAAUCGACGAGGAAUGUGUGGUUAUGAUUCUAUUCUCCUUUCUUUUCUCAAUAGCCGUUAUCUGUUGCAUUUUUUAAUAGAGUAGAAUCUUUGAUAGACUUAGUUGAUCAGUACGAGUCUGCCCUUUAUUUUUUAUGCCAUUUUAGAAUUUCACUUGAACAGUAAAUCUUUUCUCUUUUAUUUUAAUUUUAUUUCUGGUGUUGCAAAGAUCUAUUGUGUUGAAUGUGUUGUCUCCACUUUGCAUUUUCUUUCUAUAUGUGAUCCUUAAUAUCGUGCGCAUUCGGUGGUUUUAUUAGUUUUUUUUUUUUUAAAAAAAAAGAAAAAUUCAACUUCCUCUAUAUGCUUUGCUUUUAAUUGGCACUGGUGUAUAUGUUCUGUGCUGUGCUUUUGAUAUUCAUGUACCUUUAAGCUCGAUACCAAUUAAAUACUAGCCAAUUUUAGAGUAGAUUUUCCUAAAGGAAAUGUAGGCCAGGCAGCUGAACUUUGUUGAAAUUAUGUCCUCUAAUUAUUGCUCGGGAUCAUUUAUACUCUCCUUUGGUUUGGUAUGUGGUUAAAUGUUGUCAUAAUAUUGUUUCCAUAUUUAAUCUAUGAAUAUUUAACUUCAGUUAUAAAAUUUUUUAUCUUUAUUUUAAUCUACUUUACGUUUUAGUAAAUUUGACUUCCCUUGUCUUGUAGAUACCGUGACAAGUGAAAUGAGAAGUGCUUUAAUGGCUGGUUUACCUAAUAAGGGGAUCCACAUAGCUGAUGAAGUUCAAAUAUGUUGAUCUAUUUUGUGAAAUUUGUUUCAAACUUUUUUUAGUUACAGUUACUGAAGGGGAAAAUAUCUAUCCCAGGGCGAACUUCCUAGCAAAUUGAAAAAACAAAAAAAAAAAUUAUGGUCAGGUACUGCUUGGACCUGCUCCAACAAACUUAAGCAGCUGAAAUGGAACUAUAAUAACUGUUAAUUCCUUUGCUAUUGUCAUGGCCGAAGAAGGAGGGCACUACCUAGGUUACUUGAAAGAUUUCUAUGAGAACAAGAAGGGACAGAAAAAAGUUAAAGUGCAGUGGUUUCAACAUUUUCAGGAACACUUGUGUGAUUCCUCAGCUCAAGGGACACCCUAGAGAAGUAUUUAUCACGUGUCAUCUUCAGGUGAUACAUGCGAAGUGUACUGAUGGUCCUGCUACAGUUUUGACUCCUAGAGAUUACGAGAAAUAUAUCUAUCUUGCCCCGAAAAGUUUGUCCUCUGGUGUCUAUAUGUGCUUUAGGGAAUUUAGAAACAACAAGGUCAUGCCGUUAUGUCACACCCCAACGAGGAGUAUGACGGGCUCCGACCCAUAGGCCGGGAAUCACCUGACUUAGCGGUUACUCUAAACAUCAUAUACCGUAACUCAAAGAACACCUGCACGCAGAAAAGGCCCAACAUAGAAAUGUCUGAUAAUCUAACAUAUAUGUACAAAUGCGAACCGACAAGGUCGCUGCAACUUCACGAGUAUCCUAAAGUCGGCAAGGCUAUCAGAAAAAUAUCAAGAACCCAAAAUAAGGCCAACAAGGCCAUACAUAAUAUUUACUUACCGCACUAUGUCUAUGAGCCUCUAAGAGUGUACAUGUGAGCAUAUAUUACACUAGCAGAAAAGUACCAAAGGAUAGCAAGUCCGGAGUAGUGGCACUUGCUGACACCGCUGAAGCUGGAAAAUCCUACUGCGGUCGCUCCUCAAUAACCCUGUCAGAGCCUGCAGCACGAAAUGCAGCGUCCCGUGCAAUGGGACGUCAGUACGGGUAAAAUUACUGAGUAUGUAAGGCUGGAAUCAAUAACAUUAGUAGGACGGAGAUAUAAAGAGAAUAGAAGUAAC